UUUACUUUAUACGUUCAGAUAUUGGGCGUAAGCGCGCGCAGGCGGUCUCUUAAGUCUGAUGUGAAAGCCCACGGCUCAACCGUGGAGGGUCAUUGGAAACUGGGAGACUUGAGUGCAGGAGAGAAAAGUGGAAUUCCACGUGUAGCGGUGAAAUGCGUAGAGAUGUGGAGGAACACCAGUGGCGAAGGCGGCUUUUUGGCCUGUAACUGACGCUGAGGCGCGAAAGCGUGGGGAGCAAACAGGAUUAGAUACCCUGGUAGUCCACGCCGUAAACGAUGAGUGCUAGGUGUUGGGGGGUUCCACCCUCAGUGCUGAAGUUAACACAUUAAGCACUCCGCCUGGGGAGUACGACCGCAAGGUUGAAACUCAAAGGAAUUGACGGGGGCCCGCACAAGCAGUGGAGCAUGUGGUUUAAUUCGAAGCAACGCGAAGAACCUUACCAGGUCUUGACAUCCUUUGACCACUCUAGAGAUAGAGCUUUCCCCUUCGGGGGACAAAGUGACAGGUGGUGCAUGGUUGUCGUCAGCUCGUGUCGUGAGAUGUUGGGUUAAGUCCCGCAACGAGCGCAACCCUUGACCUUAGUUGCCAGCAUUCAGUUGGGCACUCUAAGGUGACUGCCGGUGACAAACCGGAGGAAGGUGGGGAUGACGUCAAAUCAUCAUGCCCCUUAUGACCUGGGCUACACACGUGCUACAAUGGAUGAUACAAAGGGUUGCGAAGCCGCGAGGCCAAGCCAAUCCCAAAAAGUCAUUCUCAGUUCGGAUUGUAGGCUGCAACUCGCCUACAUGAAGCCGGAAUUGCUAGUAAUCGCGGAUCAGCAUGCCGCGGUGAAUACGUUCCCGGGCCUUGUACACACCGCCCGUCACACCACGAGAGUUUGUAACACCCGAAGUCGGUGGGGUAACCCUUUUGGGAGCCAGCCGCCGAAGGUGGGACAGAUGAUUGGGGGUGAAGUCGUACAAAAGUUAGAUCA
rnacentral:rRNA from 1 species